AUUAUGAGAAAAGGAAGAGAGACCAGAGCCAUUAUGAGAAAAGGAAGAGAGACCAGAGCUCACUCUCCAGUGUGUGAGGAUGCAGCAAAAAGGCGACUGUCUGUUUGCAAGCCAGGAAGAGGGCCCUCAUCAGGAACCAAAUCUCCUGGCACCUUAAUGUUGGACUUCCCAGCCUUCAGAACUGUGAGUUGGGAAGCAGACUCUUUAGUUGACAGCUGGCCUAUGGUUUCUGCAUUUUGUUAAGAAGCACCUCAUGCAAGUGAGGGACCUGGGACUGCUCACAGCCAGGAGCUGGUAUUUUCCCCUGCCAGUUGAUAAUGGAGACUGUGGACACCUCCCUUUCUGGUGGAUGCAGUGCCCUCAGGAACUCCCAGAAGGCAAGACUCCAGCCAGGGGCUCUCCUGAAAUGUCUGAAGGGAAUUGCUGGGGGUGGGGUGUGGAGAGGGAAGAAUGUGCACUUGAUCCCUGAAGGCUUCUCCGUAUCCUGUACGUGAAUCUUCGCCCCUCUCUACGCGGAUGCAAGAGUCCUCUUGCUUUGGCCAUGUGCUGCUCCUUUCCUUCAGGACUGUGGCUAAUCAGAAGUUGGCUGCACUUCAGUGCCUCUUAAAAGCUUUUUUCCCUGGCUGUGUUCAGGAUGUUGAAGUGCAGUGUCAGAAAUGAUGUGAGCUGAUGAAGAAAAAAUAAACCCAGGCAACAUGUGAGGAAGGCUUGGCAGCCCUGCUUCUGUUUUUCUUUAGUUUGGAUCUGAAGGAACCAGAUUUCCUCAUUGGAAGGAAUGGGGCUGUGAGGGUCCCUGUGCCAUGGAGCCUGAGAUGUGCAUGCCAGUGGGCCUUCUGGACUAGGGCACCAGUUAGUUUAAUAACUCUGGGAUGAAAAUGUAUAGUUUACGGUUGGCAGAAUGGAGAGCAGUCACAUGGCCACAGCCGGAGCUAUAUGUCUAUAUGUAUGUGGAGUUAAAAUAGCAUCUGUUCAGGGAGGCGGAACAUUCCAGAAUGUUUCAGUCCCCUCUUGGCCCCAAUGCAGAGAAUGGAGAAUAGGAAAGCUGGGAGAGACUUCACAGAGCUUCUUGUCUAAGCCCCUUAAUUUCAGUUUAGGACACUGAAUAACUUGGCUAAAGCCCCGUGAGUCCAGGGGCCCUUGUCUGUCUUGUUUGUUCACCUUCAUACCUUUGGUGCCUGCAUUGUAUUAGGUACUUAACAUGCAUUUGUUUGGUGAAUGAAUGACAUAAAUGAAGAUACGACUUCCAACUCCUAAUCCAGUGCUCUCUCUGAGAUAUUUGUAGGCAGAAAAGUCGGUAGAAGUUUUGCCAAAUAACUUGUAUGUAGUUGAGGCUAUCUUGAGAUUAUAUAUAGGUUAGAAAAUGGAGAUGUAGCAAAAUCAAACUGGCUCCUUAAAGUUGGUGGUGAAGACAGGCUUGCUCAGGUUUGGGGGUGGGUAGGAGGCAGGACUGCCACUUUGCUCAGCAGAUGGGGCUCCUUUCACAUUGGAUUCUGUGUGAGCGGUGCCCUCUGAAGUUGGACGAUGGCCCCAAUAGCUCAGCUUCCCCAGAAGAAUCAAGAUGACUGUGGAAAAAAUAGGCUUGAAGUUGCCCCUUUCCUUACCGGCAGCUAGGAGCCUACCCUCCUUUUGCAGCCCAGUCCCCGCCUUUUCAGAGGGAUGUGUGACUUGGAGCUCAUCAGACUUACCCUCUGUUUGUAGAGGGGUGUGUGUGUGUGUGUUCGUACGUGUAGAAUGCUGCAGGUGUGACUGGAAGGUCAUGUUUGAUCACUGUAGCAACAGGAGUAGGAUGAAGUCCUGCACACAGGGUCUCCGCCACUGUCCAACUCCAUUUGGAGAAUUGCAACUCUGUUGCCAUGGGCCCCAACCAAGGAAACCAGGUCUUACAGUGGGCUGCACUUAGAAAACCAGGGUGGUCCAGGCCAGCAUGGUGAAACCCCGUCUCUACUAAAAAUACAAUAAUUAGCUGGGCGUGGUGGCAGGCACCUAUAAUCCCAGCUUCUUGGGAGGCUGAGGCAGGAGAAUCGCUUGAACCCGGGAGACGAGGUUGCAGUGAGCUGAGAUUGUGCCACUGUACUCCAGCCUGGGUGACAAGAGCGAAACUCCAUCUCAAAAAG
rnacentral:sRNA from 1 species